AUUAAUGUGAAUUGCAGAACACAUUGAACAUCGACACCUUGAACGCACAUGGCGGCCUCGGGUCCAUCCCGGGGCCACGCCCGUCUGAGGGUCG
rnacentral:rRNA from 2 species